CCUUCUGUUCUCAAACGAGCUGACGCAAAAACUGAUGCCUCAGUAUGCCAUAAUCACUUUAGAAUGGUUCGAUAAUAUAAUACAAUGUUGUUAUUUACUUCUGUCUAGAAAACAGACAAAAUAUAGACCGAUAUGCGAGUUUUAAUGGCGAUUGCAAUUCACGCUUGAGUUGGGGUACAAUAACCUUUUAACACAAUAAUAAAGUAUGCGGGAUUUCAUAUUAUUCGCAGCACCUCGAUUUAUUCUGUUCUCACGAUUGCGAUAUAUUCGGAAUGGAACGAUGUUUCGGAAUUUCAAUGAAAUCGAGUUAAAUGAAAACGAGUAUCAGAAAGUAUUGGAAGGAUUUUUAAGUAGCGAUUACCAAUAGCUUAAGUAUUCUUUGAAGUUGUGAUCGAUUGAUAGAAUAUAAAAUUAUCGAUUAAUUUUGAUGACUAUUUUUCGACUUUUAAAGUUCAAUGAAUAGUAAGAAGAGUAUUUCAACUUUGAGAGGAACAUCACCACGUGACUGUUCAGUACAUAACGAAAUUAGAGAAUUUCGUUUCACAAAUCACCGAUUUUAAUGGGUUUCCUUAUAAUUUCUUCUAACAAUAAUCUAAGUUGUAGUAAUUCAAUAUUUUCAGUUUGCGAAUGAAAAAUUAUAAUUUUCGCAACUUUCUGCUUUUCAACAAAAAAAAUGAUGAUAUGGUAUCUCUACAAAAAACUGAUGUAAUUUGAAUAUAUUCGUUAAAAAAAUCUUCUACUAAUCACCAUAAACUAUUUUUGUGUUUCCUCCUCUGAACGAAUAUUGACAGAUCACGAGAAUGUCACAUGGUGAUGUUUCCAUUAAGUAAAAGAACUCAUCAAAGUGAUAAUUGAUAUAUUUGCAUUUAAUUGCAAAUAACUUCAAUAGUUUUUGAGAAAAAGUCUGAAAAGUGAACAGGCGGAUUUUUUAUUUCAAUUUUGCAUUCCAUACAUUGCAGAAUGUCAAAUAUAAAAUUUGGAACUUCUCUAUGAUUGCUUCUUCAUUGACACAAAAAGAUUCUGUUUCUCAUACAAAGAAUAAUUGAGCUGAACUUCAAAUUUCUAGGAGCCAACACUGAAAAUACUAUUAUUUUUUGGUAGCUCUUUUUGAGCUUUCCUACUUCAUAAUUUCUUCACACAGUCUGUAUUUCUCGAAUUUUGAGCAUGUUUCAAACGAUUUCAAACUAAUGAUGAAUCCAUAAUAAAAUUCAAUUGUGUCUGUUUCGAUUGACAUGAAAAUUUUCGGAUGGAUGUUGAAUGACAUUUCGACGGCUAGUGCUAAAUAUUAUGUUGAUGACUUAUCCAUGACUAUAGACAAUUCAUGAAGAAUAUCGCAAGGAAAUUAUUCAAUUUUUUCGUGACUGAGGUACCGACGGUUUGAAAAAUAAAAUAACAAUUUCAAGCUCAUCAGAACCAUUGAAAAUUUAUGAAGAAUUCUGGAAAAAAAUGUAGAAUACUGAAUAUUUACAGAUGGGAUCUAGUUGAGAUUUUGACAAUAUAUAUAGAAUCGUGUAAAUAACUCGAACGAAACCAUAGAAAAUUCAAGAAAAUUACUUAAUAUUUCUUCGAUCACAUGAAGUGAAAUUUCAAGUGUUUAUCUACUAGUACUGAAUUAUAUAUUUAUUAUUCAACUGCUUUUGAGCAAUUAAUAGUAUCCAUUACCAAACAACGUAAGUUAUAAUAACUCACCGCAAAAGCUCACUAUAAUAUAUCAGAAAAGAUGGCUCAGUGCUUCUAUACAUCUGUGCUUCUAUUCUGUUUGCUGAAAUGGAACAUUCCAUUAUUGUUAUUGAGGGGAGGACUGUCACUUUGAUAAUUUUGACGUUUAUAGGUAACUUUUGGGUUUUUUUCAUUGAAGUUCUUUCUCUAUUCUUGUAUUUUAGUAUUUAUUGUUAUAGUCGUAGAUAAAGUUUAGUGAUGAAUUACAGAACUCGCCUGCGACUUGUGCUGCAAACUUCAUUUGCGUGAGUUAUGACCUACAUUGCCGCUCGUUGAAUAAUAUACUAUUAGGUACAUCAAAUAUGAAUUUCAAGCAACGUGUGAAAUUUUAAGCUGAUCACAUCAUCAGAAUUAUAGAAAAUUGCUAACUACCGAAUAUAUCCGUCAUUAUUAUCUAUAGAUCCGAUCGUGUUGGGAUUUUGACUAUAGAAAACUUAAGCAGAAUACGCUCUAUCAGUGAUGACGUCACACACCGCCAUUUUAGUUUUCUUGUUAGUGUUCGGAAUCCAAACAAAUAAAUUGUCAUUCAAAUUAGUACGUUGUCGUUGAAGAAAUUGGCUUAUUUCGAUAAAUAAGAUUAAUUAAGGAACGAUUCUACUAUUAAUUGAUAGCAGAAGGAACGAUAAUAAUGCCAGUAAGUUUGAACUUGAAGUUCAAACUAAUAAACGCGGCUUUUUACAAAAUCUGGAAAUGAUACGGGAUUCAAACUAACUGGUAUUAAUUUCGUUCCUUCUGUCUAUCAAUUAAUACACUGAAAUUGUUCCUUAAAUACUCUUAUUUAUGAAAAUAAUCCAAUUCCUUCCACGACACCGUACUAAUUUGAAUUACAAUUUAUUUGUUUGGAUUCCGAACGCUGACAGGGGAACUAAAAUAGCGAUAUGUGUCGUCACACUAAUAGAGCGUUUAGCAAAAAAAAAUAUUUAACAAUUCCACAACAAUAGUUCCCACCGAGUUGAAGUUUUGCCAAGUAAAUAUAAAACAACAACUUUGAAUUCUUUGCAAAAUUUCAUGUAGACCGUUUCAUCACAAUUAUAGAAAAUCGAAGAAGAAUAUUGAAAAGAAAAUAUCCAAAUUUUAGGUGAGAACAGAUCCGAUUGAGUUCAGAUUUUGCGUGUCAAUUUAUUAUAUGAAUAAUCGUUUCAAGCUUCGUCUGAAAUUUCUUGUUGAUAGCGUUAUAAGAACAAUAAAAAUUGAGCAGAAUGUAUGAAAAAAAUACCUAUAUGCAGUUCUCUUGUCUUCAAGAGUGUAAUUGGCGUAUGAAUGAACGAGCGCUCAGAAUUCCCCGACUUCACAAUAGUGCUUUUUUCAUAAAAUCAUACAGAUCCCGGUAGAUAUCAAUUAGAAUUUGAAAAAUUACUGCUAGAAUCAAAUUUUUUCAGCUCAAAUUUUUUGCUUGGAUCCUAGCCACAUUCGUACCAUUUCACCAUAGAUAUGAAACAUAGCUUGGAUACCCUUAAGAGUAAUUGAAUAAGGUAUAAUUAGAUCGAUUCGGUCGAAAUUACUUCCGGUGGAUGCUUUUGUUUUCAUAUUUGAAUUCCUUGGAUCCUUGUCCGUUCCUGUUCAUUAAGGAAAUACAAUUAAGAGUGAUUAAGAAAAAAUUCUCAACAUCCCAGCCGAUCAUAGAAUUCGGUCAUGGAAAACGACAAUACAACGGAUAUAACAACGGAACAAGAUGGACAGGUACAUUAUUGAACCAUAAGCAAACAAUUUCACUAAGAAGUCCGAGUUCUUAUUGAUUAACAUCAUUAGUGAGCUCUUAUUGGAUGGUCCACUUAUGGUUUGCGAAGGUUGAACAUGUAUCUACUGGCACCUCUCAAAGGAAACGUUGAAAGUUACAGAUACCCCAAAGUACACACUUGAAAAGUUGCAAAGUGAUUUACAACCGACUUUGUUUAUGAGGAAGGUUAUCUAAACGCAGAACAAACAGACAAAUGUAGGUCACCGAUGAUUUGUUAGUGUAAUUAUUAAUAUUGGCUUAUUGGUGUUGUUACUUCGGAGAAUUAUUAAAUUUGGUAGAGAUGUGCGAAUAGAAUGUUUGAGUUUCAGGGAAGAUGAAAUUUGAGAAAGGAUAGGGUAGAGAAUGAGUUAUUUCCGAAUGUUGGGCAAGAAAAUUUAAACCACAUUGAAAACUAGUGCAUCAUAUUCGAAUGUUUCAAGAAAACUCAGGUUCAAUUCAUAGACCUAAUAUCAAAUGGACAGCCCUUAGAGAGAAAUUCUGGCAUGCCGCACAUGAAAGAGAGAGAUGGAGCUAGAUGAGUCAACGUCAAAAUCAUAUGAUCAAAACAUUGAACUCGCAUUCAGAAAAUUGCUAAUUUUUCUCUCAUUCUGAAUUGAACACAUAGUUAAUCUGAUUGAUUCAAUUUGUAAAAGUGUUGAACAUUCUAAUAAAAGGAAUUAGCGAAUCCAUCUGCUAUUGCGAAAUUCAAAGCACCAAAAGAACUAAUUAUCAAAUAAAAUGCCUCACACUCGUGCAGCCUUCAAUUGUACAGCGAGAUUAGAAAAAAGCCAAAAGUUGAAAUUUCUUGCUUCACAGUUUUCCAAAGGAUGACAAAUUAAGGGAACAGUGGAUGAAAGCUGAAGAAGAAUUGAUUUCAACCCUUUUUCCUUGUUGAAAAUAUGCAGCAACCGUUUUCAUCAACAUGAUUUAUUAAUAUUCAUGGUACAAAAACUUUGAAAAAAGAUGUUAUUCCUUCAGUUUUCAGUUUCUCCAAUUAUAUACCUGAGAGAUCAAAUUAUGGAGAUAAAUGUCUUGAAGAUAAUAUUGAAGAAAUUGAACAGGAUCCGCCAGAGACAAAAUAGCAAGAGAUGGGGCAACCAGAGAAGGUACAACUGUUUAUAAUAUCAAAAUCCUCUGCUGCUGCCAUGGAAGAUUUUCCCCCCAGAUUGAAUACUAAUAUUAGAAAUACUAGAAAUUAGAAACCUGGGAAUGAGGAUUUCCAAGAAUGGAACACUAGACGAAGUAAUAUCUGAGAGGAACAUCCAAAGAAAACCAAUAAUCUCAAUGUUAAAUAGGAUAUUUUCGAUUAAAAACAUAAAUAUGAAUAAUAAAAAAAAAUUUACUCAAUAGUUAGGAGCAUAAUAACAUACAGCUCUGAAGUGGACAGCAGCUGGAAAAUCUGACAGGGACAUGAUACCAAAUGAUACAAUAAGACAUAGAAUGGAAAUAAGACAUGAUAUUAUUGAUCUUAAGAACACAACAGUUGGUUUGGUACAGACAAGUCCAUAAAUACUUAUGAUACUAGGUGUGAUUUAAACAAUAAUAAUUUUUUUAGAUUGCCAUACUAAAUGAGGAACAUAUUCUGUGCCGUGGCUUAAAAAUUCAUCUUUAGAGAAGCUCAUUCACUGAUAGGCUGAAAAUGGGAAAAAUGAAUGUAUCAUAACUGAUCCUUGGAGAGAUAAGGAGAAGAAGAUCCAUAAAUUUCAAGAUUUGGAGGAGUUUAGAACUAAGAAGAGGAAGAGCUCAAUCCUGAUAUUUUUUUAAUAUCCUGGAUAUUAAAUGAUUGGAAGAGUGAAUAUCCUCCUUAGUGGAGAGUGAGAAAUCCGACUGCGAAUAUGUUCUUCCUCGUGCGCUGAUAGGCUAGAGUCGGACCAUUUUUUAAAUCAUUUAUUGUAAUAAUGUAUUUUGAACAGCAAUAAAAACUUAAUGAAUACAAUUA